UGUCUGCCAGGUACUUUAACUCCAAAUACCGAGCUCCCAAACAGACUCAGAGUCAAAUCAGCGAUGUCCAAAUGUCAGCCACUAAACCAGAGGAACAGCUGCAUUAUGGAGAAAUAACGUUUAGCAGAAAGACGCCUGAAACUUCCUCCAGAUUGGUGCAGCACAACGAACAGACUGUGUACGCGGAGGUGAAAUUGUCACAGCGAGAAAGCAGCUCUAAGCAGACUCCUGGGAACCCCGAGGAUGUUUGCUGCGAAGAAAAAAAAGAAUAACCUCUGUUGUGUGACGGCAGACAUCUAAAGUUUUGUCUGUGUAAGGGGAAAGGCUAUGAUAAAGAUGGAGAGUCUGCACCUCAAGACCUUGUCACCCUCCAAUGCGCGUGCUUCUGUCAGUUAUUAGGGAUGAACAACAUGGCUACCAAGAAAAAGUUGUUCAUCGCUUAAAGAUGAACAUACGUACGGAAACACAACUUUUAAUUUGUUCAGUUUAUAGUUAGCUGGUGCUACAUGUAAUAAUGUGGUGCUCUUCCAUCACAGAUGCUUCUGCUGAUGCCUGGAGCGGCCAUGUUGAUUUGUGAAUUUACAGUUACAAGUUGCAUCCCUCUGUCCCAGUGUGAAGUCCGACUUCGGGGGUCAUUCAAGUUGAUUUUUCCAAACGGGAAGUCAGAACGUCCGAGUUCCAACUGCAAAUGGAGCGCACCAAAUUCCUCAGCUUUAACAUUUGUGGAAAAAUAGAACAGUUUUUAGACUGUAAGCCAUGGAUCAUAAAAAUUUCAGAACCAUAUCAUUGCUGGUACUUCCUAAUAUGUAAAACAUGCAGACUAUUAGAGUUUGUACUUUCAUUUUGUUUUCUUACUUUAUUUUUUAUUUUUUUCACUUGGACCGUAACAAUAUAACAAAAUGUAUUAUGUGACUGAUAGAUUGUAGGUGAGUUGGCGUGUCAGGCGAUGGCUAGACUUCCCAUUUCUGCAGUGACUAGUGAUUAUUCACAAUUUGGAGUCAAAUUGUGCUACUGUAAAAGACAAUGCAUUAGUUCUCUGCAAUAUAAACAAGCUAUUAUGUGGACAAUGUUGCUAAUAUUUUUUGUUGUACCAGGAAGGGUUGCCUUCCCUUUUCUGAGGUUCAGUGAAAGGCAGAUGAUUUUAAAACUCAGUAAACGCACAAAUUAGGAAGUAAAGUUGUUGUUUUGUUUUUGUUUUGUUUCUGAAUCUCAGAAAAUGAUUGUUUUCUAUACAGUCACCUGCUGCCAGUAAAAUAAAGAGCACAUUUUUUCAGGAAUCGAAAUGUAUAAAUAAAUAGACCCCACAUGUUUCAGCAAAUUUUCCCUUCAUCACAGAAGUGACGACGCUUGUAAAAUAACAUGCUUAAUAACAUGCUCUAGCAUUUACUGGGCAAAUAUGCCAAUGUGUGUUUUUUAAUCAAAGCUGGUUGGAAAAUAUAACUUCUGUAAUCUUUAAAAAAAAAUGUUUGCCUCAUAAAUAAGCUGUGAGAAUUAUUCUUCAAUUGUUCUUUUUAACUUUUCCUUGACUUACGGGACAUGUUAAAUGCCUAUUUGAUCAAAUAAAUACUCUGCACUUUACAGUUCGUUAAAAAAAUAUGCAAGCAUCUGUCAGAAUUAGGUGAUUAUUAUUGCUUCUCUGCAAAUUCUGACCAAUAAAAAAAGUAGCUAAUA